GUAGCUAUGUACGGAAGGGAUAAGCGCUGAAAGCAUCUAAGCGUGAAGCCCCCCUCAAGAUGAGAUUUCCCAGUAUGUAAGACCCCUUGAAGACGACGAGGUAGAUAGGUUGGGGGUGGAAGUGCAGUAAUGCAUGGAGCUGACCAAUACUAAUCGGUCGAGGGCUUAUCCUAA
rnacentral:rRNA from 1 species